rnacentral:piRNA from 1 species
UGUUUGACCUGGGUGGCGGAACCUUCA